UAUUGCGAAACAAGCUAACACUCUCGCAUUCAAUCCGCUAUAUUUGUUGAGCUACUGUUGGAGUUGCUGUGCUCACGAGCGGGAAUUCGAGGUGCCUGAUGCUAAGGUUUGUUUUUUAAUGGGUUGUGUGAUGAUAUUCAUGUGCAUAUUUGUUUCAACAAUGCUUCAAAUAUUUUAGACACCCUGCAGUUGGCCAAGCAAUUAAGCAAGCUGCACAGGGGUAUCUGUCACGCUCCAGUUUUGAUGUUAUGCGUCUUUGGAGUGAGCUUUUAUGAUAAUUGAUGGCUGAUUGCCCAUGCCCAGAAAUGGCUCCAACAACUCUAUGGUGUGCCAAUACACUACUUCUUCUUCCAGUUCACUUACAAGAUCAGCUUUGACUUCUUGUUUGAGGCAUCCAGAAUACUUGAAUAUGAAGGCCAAGAUGAUUAGUUUUUAAAUGUUGUCAAAAGUGGGUUGGCAGCGAAAUGGAACUUGAUGUUAUUGUUUGCAGGGAUUAUUGAUAUCAUGGAUUUAAAUGAAGAUGUGUAGGUUUUGCAGUGCAAAUUGUAAUUCAUUUGUCAUCGCCUGGCCACACAGCUUAAUUUUGGGGGGCCGCAGCGCGCUUGUGUCUGGCCAUGCAUUAGCUACUUAAGGGGGUUCUCACGAUGCUCAAGUAUGUUGUGGUAUCAAUAUUUAUAUUAAAUCAGAAGUUUUGUUUAGGUGUGGCCUCAUCAGUAUGAUAUAAGGGUGGGUUCCUUAUGUUGAGCCAUAGAUAUAAAGUAGUUUUUGAGCUAAUUACUUUAGGAUGGGUUUUCUUCAUAAAACAUGAUGUUUCUAAUGCAAUUGACAUGACAUGAUCUGUUGUUCUUUGUAACUAUUGCGUUAAGAUCAUGUUUUUCCAAUAGAUUGGAUGAAAGCUCUCUUUGACAAAAUUAAAUUUCUUUGCAGCAUGGAUGUAGACAGUAUAGGAGCAAUUUCCCAUUAUGUUGACACUUGAUUACCCAUAUGGGCUGUGCUAUUGCAAUAGUUCUGCAUUUAUUUGCCUGCAAACUAUCUUUGAACACUAAUUGCUACUGCUUUACCUCUGCAGAACUCUUCUUGGUGAUGGAGGCAAAAAUUGAAUCCUUAAAUUUACUCAUUACUCAUUAGCUGCUGAUAAUCGCAGGAACAAACUACAUAUCAUAUCUUCAGCUUGUAUUGUGUUUCUAGUGCUAUUUGGGAAGCCGUCAAUUCCAGAACCGAACCAGUAGAGCCAGUAUGCUGAUUUCAGCUCAGCCCGUGAGCCCGGUUUCAGGCCACACAGUUCUAAGAGCAUCCGCAGCGGUUGAAAAAAACUCGUCCGUCCGUCCUGGCCAGCGGCAAGGACGAGGUUGUCCGCUGAUGGGAGCUGUCCGUCCAUGCCGCUGAGCACCCUUACGUGACGCUCUCUGAUUGGCCAAUGGCUUAUAUUCAAUUUUUUUAUUUUUUAUUUUUA